UACGGAGGGGGCUAGCGUUGUUCGGAAUUACUGGGCGUAAAGCGCACGUAGGCGGCUAUCCAAGUUGGGGGUGAAAUCCCUGGGCUUAACCCAGGAACUGCCUUCAAAACUGGAUGGCUAGAGUCCGAGAGAGGUGAGUGGAAUUUCCAGUGUAGAGGUGAAAUUCGUAGAUAUUGGAAAGAACACCAGUGGCGAAGGCGGCUCACUGGCUCGGUACUGACGCUGAGGUGCGACAGCGUGGGGAGCAAAC
rnacentral:rRNA from 3 species